rnacentral:lncRNA from 1 species
AAAAAAAAAAAGGGAAAAAAAUUAAGGCAUUCUCAGAACAAGAUUUAUAGUGGACUCAGUGGAUCACCUGCCUCAGAAUAUCCUCAGAUGUUAGUGUUAAAUGUGAAUUUCUCUGACUUCCUGAAUCUGAAGGAGGGUGAGGGCUGGGAAUCUGCACUUAUUUAACAAGCUUCCAGGUGAUUCCGGCUCACUCUCACGUUUGAUGACCACCACACCUGGUGAGUAGUCUCUAGACUUUUUAUCAUGAAGCACCAGUAUAUGCAUUUUACGUGUUCAUUUCUUUACUUAUAAGUUAGUAAUGCAUAGAUGAUGGUUCUAAUGUGUUGUGUAUAUUAUAAAGUGUUCACAAAAGUAGAAAAUUUGCAAGGAUGAGAAAUCAUGCACAUUAAAGUUUAUGUAUGAGCUUCCCACGCCACGUUUUGGAUGAGAGGGUGAGGGUAAUUCAUGCAGGUGAAAUGUUAUUUAACUGAUCCUCAGGGUGAUUGUUAUGGCACAACACUCAUUUUCUCAAGUUUAUGACUCCAACGUCAAUGGGCAUGAGACAGCAUGAUUUUCUGUAGAGGUUUUAUUUCUGUUUCAGUAGUACCACUGGGCAUUCUCGCUCUGCUUCCCCACAAAAUUCACACUUGGUGCUCAAGAAAGUUGUCAUAUUUACCCUCCUCCCCAACCUGAUGUCCCGAGUGCAAAUUCUAGGUGGGAAACCAAGUGUAGACUGGUCAGUGUGUUGGUAUACAGCCCGGCAAUGCCCAGGUAAUACAUACACACACAUACACACACUCCUGAGGCUGCUUUCAGACUGGAAAGGCUGCAAAAUUGUCUCCUAGGAAACCCUGCCUACAGAAAGUUUUAAAGUUAAUGAUUUGACUCUAAAUCUGGCUCUUAACCUCUCUGGGGUCAUGGGUCUCUUUGAGAAUCUGAUGACAUCUAUGAGCUUUCUCUCCAGGGCAGGGGAAAAAAAUACUCAUCCCACUACAUGUACCAUUUCAGAGGGCGUGAACACUUUGGGAGUUCUUGACGUGUGGAGUCUGAGCCAGCAACAUCAACAUUUCCUGGGAACUUACUUGAGCUGCCCCACGCCCAAACCUACUGAAUCAGAAACUUUGGGGUGGGAAUAAGCCCUCCAGGUAUUUUUGAUGAAUACUCAAGUUUGGGAACACUCCAGAGCCGAAGUUCUCAAACUGGCCUCCUUAUUAGAAUCACCUGGUGCUUUUUUUUUUUUUUUUAAAGGACUGAUGCCUGGGCUCCAAUCUCCUUUAAUUAAAUCAGCAUCUCUGGAGGUGGAUCCUGAACAUAGGGAUUUUUAAAAGCUCUCCAAAGGAGCUAAGCUCUGUGGACCAAGGUAUUAAUAACCCAGGCUACUUCUGACGAUCCCCCAACUAGAGCCUAAAAGCACUAGAGAAGAACUUCGCCACAGCCUGACUCAUCACUUUCACUUACACACUGAGAAGCUUUUCCAAGGCUGCACGGUUACUGAACGUCUAGGCAGCCAGUUCUCCCUCUUCCCCCGUUCCAGGAAGUGCCACACACUGCAAGAGUGAACCCCAAACACUUCUGAAGAAGCCUGGCCAGCAAAGACACACGUAUUGAAAAGUGGCCUAGACCGGGGCAUUUUCAGCUACAGAUCAUUGACAUCAGCUUCCAGUGGUUUUUCCUCUUUGGCUUAACUCUGCUGUUCAUUGAACUCAGUUCAGUAAGCUUUCAUCAGAAGAAGGUUAACCUUGAUCUGGCCGGUGGAAAGCAGCAGAGCUGAAGUGGGGCGGUGGGACAGCCUUUCCGAUGAGACUGGGACCUAUGAGAAGAGACGUGGGAGAU